UAAUACAUAAGUAACCUGCCCUAGACAGGGGGAUAACUAUUGGAAACGAUAGCUAAGACCGCAUAGGUACGGACACUGCAUGGUGACCGUAUUAAAAGUGCCUCAAAGCACUGGUAGAGGAUGGACUUAUGGCGCAUUAGCUGGUUGGCGGGGUAACGGCCCACCAAGGCGACGAUGCGUAGCCGACCUGAGAGGGUGACCGGCCACACUGAGACUGAGACACGGCCCAG
rnacentral:rRNA from 1 species